rnacentral:rRNA from 1 species
ACGAAGGGGGCUAGCGUUGUUCGGAAUUACUGGGCGUAAAGCGCACGUAGGCGGUCAGCACAGUCAGGUGUGAAAGCCCCGGGCUCAACCCGGGAACUGCACUUGAUACUGGUUGACUAGAGUUCGGGAGAGGAGAGUGGAAUUCCCAGUGUAGAGGUGAAAUUCGUAGAUAUUGGGAAGAACACCAGUGGCGAAGGCGGCUCUCUGGUCCGAUACUGACGCUGAGGUGCGAAAGCGUGGGGAGCAAACAGG